UAGGGAAUCUUCGGCAAUGGACGAAAGUCUGACCGAGCAACGCCGCGUGAGUGAAGAAGGUUUUCGGAUCGUAAAACUCUGUUGUUAGAGAAGAACAAGGACGUUAGUAACUGAACGUCCCCUGACGGUAUCUAACCAGAAAGCCACGGCUAACUACGUGCCAGCAGCCGCGGUAAUACGUAGGUGGCAAGCGUUGUCCGGAUUUAUUGGGCGUAAAGCGAGCGCAGGCGGUUUCUUAAGUCUGAUGUGAAAGCCCGCGGCUCAACCGGGGAGGGGCAUUGGAAACUGGGGGACUUGAGUGCAGAAGAGGAGAGUGGAAUUCCAUGUGUAGCGGUGAAAUGCGUAGAUAUAUGGAGGAACACCAGUGGCGAAGGCGGCUCUCUGGUCUGUAACUGACGCUGAGGCUCGAAAGCGUGGGGAGCAAACAGG
rnacentral:rRNA from 1 species